rnacentral:rRNA from 1 species
UGCCAGCAGCCGCGGUAAUUCCAGCUCCAAUAGCGUAUAUUAAAGUUGUUGUGGUUAAAAAGCUCGUAGUUGGAUCUCGGCGGACUGAGGGCGGUUUGCUUGCUAGUAUUACUGCCCUAUAGUCCGUAGUUUUGCCAGAGGUUUCGGGGUGCUCUUAAUCGAGUGUCCCGGGAUGCUGGCAGGUUUACUUUGAAAAAAUUAGAGUGCUCAAAGCAGGCUAUUACGCCUGAAUAUUCGUGCAUGGAAUAAUAGAAUAGGAAGUCGUUUCUAUUUUGUUGGUUUUCGGAAAUCGACUUAAUGAUUAAUAGGGACAGUCGGGGGCAUUUGUAUUCAAACGACAGAGGUGAAAUUCUUGGACCGUUUGAAGACAAACUACUGCGAAAGCAUUUGCCAAGAAUGUUUUCAUUAAUCAAGAACGAAAGUUAAAGGUUCGAAGGCGAUUAGAUACCGCCCUAGUUUUAACCAUAAACGAUGCCAGCUAGCGAUCUGCGGACGUUUUUUUUGUAGACUCCGCAGGAAGCUUCCGGGAAACCAAAGCAUUUGGGUUCCAGGGGAAGUAUGGUUGCAAAGCUGAAACUUAAAGGAAUUGACGGAAGGGCACCACCAGGAGUGGAGCCUGUGGCUUAAUUUGACUCAACACGGGAAAUCUCACCAGGCCCGGACACUGGAAGGAUUGACAGAUUGAUAGCUCUUUCUUGAUUCGGUGGGUGGUGGUGCAUGGCCGUUCUUAGUUGGUGGAGUGAUUUGUCUGGUUAAUUCCGAUAACGAACGAGACUCUGUCCUGCUAAAUAGUGUCUGCUUCUCUUUUGAGCAGACAAUUCUUCUUAGAGGGACUGGGCGACUCUUAGUCGCACGAGAUUGAGCAAUAACAGGUCUGUGA